rnacentral:rRNA from 1 species
ACGUAGGGAGCGAGCGUUGUCCGGAAUUACUGGGUGUAAAGGGAGCGUAGGCGGGACGGCAAGUCAGAUGUGAAAUACAUGGGCUCAACCCAUGGGCUGCAUUUGAAACUGCUGUUCUUGAGUGAAGUAGAGGUAAGCGGAAUUCCUGGUGUAGCGGUGAAAUGCGUAGAUAUCAGGAGGAACACCGGUGGCGAAGGCGGCUUACUGGGCUUUUACUGACGCUGAGGCUCGAAAGCGUGGGGAGCAAACAG